UAGACUUCUCGCCCUUUGUUUAAAUCUCAACU
rnacentral:piRNA from 1 species